rnacentral:lncRNA from 1 species
AAUCUUGCACCAGUGGUGGUGUUGAAAUAUGCCGAGUUGAGACCAUAACAAGUAGUAUUGAACUCCGGUCGCAGGUAACAACCGUCACCAAUGCCAACGGGUAUGGAAUUGUGAGGUUAUAUAGAAAGUGAUUUCCCUUGAUCUACUAUAUUACAAUUGUACAGAUAUAUAGUAGCUAUGCUAGACUCUAGGUAUGGAAAACAGUAAAUACAAAUGAUAGCAUUGAUAUGUAAUUAUAGCAUAGAAUCAAAACAGCUAUGAAUUCUUUAUGGAAGGAGAAUCAGAUGGCUCAGUUUUAGGAGAAGAUUGAGUCUGUCUAACAUCCCCCCUCAAACUUGGCGGCUCUGGACGGACAAGUUUGUUCGAAAGAAGAAGGUGCCGGGUUUUGUGGAGCGGUUUUGUGAGUAAAUCAGCUGGUUGAUCAAUGGAGGGAAUAAAGCAGACUCGAUGACUUCCAAGAGCAACUUUUUCACGAACAUAAUGGUAGUCAAGCUCAAUAUGUUUGGAAAGUGAUUUCCCUUGAUCUACUAUAUUACAAUUGUACAGAUAUAUAGUAGCUAUGCUAGACUCUAGGUAUGGAAAACAGUAAAUACAAAUGAUAGCAUUGAUAUGUAAUUAUAGCAUAGAAUCAAAACAGCUAUGAAUUCUUUAUGGAAGGAGAAUCAGAUGGCUCAGUUUUAGGAGAAGAUUGAGUCUGUCUAACAGGUUACCACAGUGGUCCAGGCAGCCGGGCAGGGCUUGAGGCAGGAGAGUCGUUUGAUCAGCCGCUGCAGCUGUUGCAGUGGCCGCUAAUACAGCAAGAAUUGCUUGUAGCAAAGAGAGUUUCUUGAUCACAUGAAAGGCCAUGGCGCCACAGAUUGUGUUUGUUAUGAGGAAAGGAAGUGCUUGAUCGCCUGUUCUUUUAUAAGCAUUGGAAGACCAAGUAUGGACGCGG